rnacentral:snRNA from 1 species
UGGAAGAAAACGGAUAGUCGACU